GACGGAGGCCCCAAGCGUUGUUCGGAAUUACUGGGCUUAAAGCGCGUGUAGGCGGAACGGUAAGUGCUUUGUGAAAUCCCCGGCUUCAAUCCGGGAACUGCUUGGCGUACUGCCGUUCUUGAGGCAGGUAGGGGUCACUGGAUCCUUAGGUGGAGCGGUGAAAUGCGUAGAUAUCUAAGGGAACGCCUGUGGCGCAAGCGGGUGACUGGGCCUGUCCUGACGCUGAGACGCGAACGCGUAGGGAGCAAACGGG
rnacentral:rRNA from 1 species